GUAGGUGGCAAGCGUUGUCCGGAAUUAUUGGGCGUAAAGCGCGCGCAGGCGGUUCUUUAAGUCUGAUGUGAAAGCCCACGGCUCAACCGUGGAGGGUCAUUGGAAACUGGAGAACUUGAGUACAGAAGAGGAAAGCGGAAUUCCACGUGUAGCGGUGAAAUGCGUAGAGAUGUGGAGGAACACCAGUGGCGAAGGCGGCUUUCUGGUCUGUAACUGACGCUGAGGCGCGAAAGCGUGGGGAGCAAACAGGGAUUAGAUACCCUGGUAGUCCACGCCGUAAACGAUGAGUGCUAAGUGUUAGGGGGGUUUCCGCCCCCUUAGUGCUGCAGCUAAAGCAUUAAGCACUCCGCCUGGGGAGUACGGCCGCAAGGCUG
rnacentral:rRNA from 1 species